rnacentral:rRNA from 1 species
AUACGUAGGGGGCAAGCGUUAUCCGGAAUCACUGGGCGUAAAGGGUGCGUAGGCGGCCAAAUAAGCCAGAGGUGAAAGGCUACGGCUCAACCGCAGUAAGCCUUUGGAACUGUAUGGCUUGAGUGCAGGAGAGGAGAGUGGAAUUCCUAGUGUAGCGGUGAAAUGCGUAGAUAUUAGGAGGAACACCAGUGGCGAAGGCGACUCUCUGGACUGCAACUGACGCUGAGGCACGAAAGCGUGGGGAGCGAACAGGAUUAGAAACCCCGGUAGUCC